UUCAGUGAUCACACUAUAUCAUUUUUAGACACUUUAAAUAAACAAACUUACAAAAACAACAAAAUGUUAAACCUGUUAAUGGCUUCACAGUGCUGAAUAUAUUAUAUAUCACAGAGCCGACUGCAGAGAUCCAGAAUCAUACGAUGAUAAAGUGCAUUGAGCAGAAUCAAAAACAAUGGCACAUUAUUAUCAUCAUAUGUGCUCUGUUGAUUAGUUUUCUGAUCAUUGUCAUCAUAGGACUAUUAAAGGUGUUUGUUUUUGGAAGGAAAAGAACCAGAGACAAACAUUUUCAAAAUACAAACCCACAACAGCCUCAAGUUAUGGAUCUUGGACCACCUCAAGACCAAGGCGAAGUGCAGUACGCUGGGGUGGACUUUUCCGCACCAUGUCAAAGGUUUCCGUCCAGCCAAGUCAACAGCACCUAUGCACUUCUAGAGCUGCCGAAAGCAAGAAUACCUAACCACUGACCACAUUGUAUUUAAUAAAAUCACAUUUACAUUGUAUGUAUAUUUUAAAAAUAUUUUCUUGAGCUUGCAGAAUGAAGAAUUACAUCCUUGA